GAGUUUGAUCCUGGCUCAGGAUGAACGCUGGCGGCGUGCCUAACACAUGCAAGUCGAGCGAAGCACUUAAGUCUGAUUCUUCGGAUGAAGGCUUUUGUGACUGAGCGGCGGACGGGUGAGUAACGCGUGGGCAACCUGCCUUACACAGGGGGAUAACAGUUAGAAAUGACUGCUAAUACCGCAUAAGACCACAAAACUGCAUGGUUUUGUGGUAAAAACUCCGGUGGUGUAAGAUGGGCCCGCGUCUGAUUAGGUAGUUGGUGGGGUAACGGCUCACCAAGCCGACGAUCAGUAGCCGACCUGAGAGGGUGACCGGCCACAUUGGGACUGAGACACGGCCCAGACUCCUACGGGAGGCAGCAGUGGGGAAUAUUGCACAAUGGGGGAAACCCUGAUGCAGCGACGCCGCGUGAGCGAUGAAGUAUUUCGGUAUGUAAAGCUCUAUCAGCAGGGAAGAAAAUGACGGUACCUGACUAAGAAGCCCCGGCUAACUACGUGCCAGCAGCCGCGGUAAUACGUAGGGGGCAAGCGUUAUCCGGAUUUACUGGGUGUAAAGGGAGCG
rnacentral:rRNA from 1 species